GGAGGAUUGCUUGAGUCCAGGAGUUGGAGGCUGCAGUGAGCUAUGAUUGUGCUACUGCACUCCAGCCUGAGUGACAGAGCAAGACCCUCUCUC
rnacentral:miRNA from 1 species